rnacentral:hammerhead_ribozyme from 1 species
GUACUGCCGAAGCGUCCCAGACUAGGACGAAACAGCUAUCCAGUAC